CUGGAAGGGCUUCGUGUUACACAGAGGAGGCUGGGGAGGAGAAGCGCUUUGCCUUCAUUCUCUGUUUAUUCAAGAACGUUGCCCGCUGCUGCCUAGGAGCUGUUCUGGGCACCAGCGCUGUAGCAGCGAGCGAAGCGGAGAAAACAUGGCUCGUGGCGUUUUCAUUCCCCUGCGGGAUAUGGACAAUCAAUAAAGAAAUAAAUCUAUCAGUCCAGAUGGUAAUAGAUAUUAUGAAGAAAGAGCAGGGACCACCACAGACCCAGAGGAGCACGGGCAGACCCCUUUAGACUCAAGGUGAAGAAGGGCUGCUCGAAGAAGCCGCGUCUGGAGAGCUGUGAAUGGGAAGUGUGUUCCAGGCAGAGGGGCAGCAUUUGCAAAGGCCCUGAGGUGGAAAUAAGCUGGGUGCCUAGAGGAACAGCAAGGUGGCUGGAGAGGCAGCACGGACAGUGCCUGCGCUGGGUCCCGGGUGGUGCUCUGUGGCCCCUGCUGGGGUCAGAGGAGAAUUUGGAGGUUCUGGAGAAGCUUCCAGCCGGCUGCUCUGUUGUUCUCUGAAUGCAGACGGUGGUGGAGCCCUGUCUUGGCCCGCAGCCGUUAGGAUAUUUCUCAGGGAAAGCCCUUGGACCAAGAAGUCUGUUUUUUCGUUGGAAACUAUGAGACUCUCUGCAAAAACAAAGGAAUUUGGAUUCUGUUCAGGAAAAAUGUAACCUACAAACAAAUAGCCUUGGAAAAUCUGUGCCUCCCCCUCGGUGCCUGGGUCAGGCACAGGGACAGCCCCACCCCCGAGCUGCUUUCGAGCUGGAGGCCACCUCCUUUUUCCUCUUCUGUGUGUUGUCUCUGGCUGCCCAGAGGGCAGUGCCUCCUCUCCAUGCCUUCCCCUGCCCUGCCGCCCAGGGCCCCUGUCUCUGCAGUGCCCUUGAUCUGGUUGGAAUGCUCUUCCCUUCCCUCGCUGCAACCCUUCCUCAUUCUUUAAGACCCAGUUCCAAUGUCUCCCCUCCGGUUCUGAGUUCCCCAGCAUCCUCUCAGGAUGAAUUCAAGAAAGGAAGAGUGGAACAUUUAGCAUGUCUCCGUUGGUCUCCUGGGACCGCCGUAACACAUCACCACGCAUUCCUGCUGGCUUGGAGCAAUAGGAAUUUCUUCUGUCACAGUUCUGGAGCCUAGAAGUCCAAAACCAAGUUGUGAGCAGGGCCAUGCUCCCUCUGAAGGCUCUCGGGGAGAGUCCUCGCUGUCUCUCCCAGCCUCUGGAGGUGGCCGUAGUCCUUAGUGUCCUCGACUUGCAGCUCUAGCAUCUAACUUCUGCCCCCAUCUUCCCAGGGUUUUCUCCCUCUGUGUCUUGACUUUGUCUCCAUCUGCGCAUAUGUCUCCUCUGUUUUCCCUUCUUGUGAGGAGUUAGUUUUCCAAAUCUACAAUUUUCCUUUCAG
rnacentral:lncRNA from 1 species